rnacentral:rRNA from 1 species
UACGUAGGGUGCAAGCGUUAAUCGGAAUUACUGGGCGUAAAGCGUGCGCAGGCGGUUAUGCAAGACAGAUGUGAAAUCCCCCGGGCUCAACCUGGGAACUGCAUUUGUGACUGCAUGGCUGGAGUGUGGCAGAGGGAGGUGGAAUUCCACGUGUAGCGGUGAAAUGCGUAGAGAUGUGGAGGAACACCGAUGGCGAAGGCAGCCUCCUGGGCCACAC